rnacentral:tRNA from 1 species
GGGCGAGUGGCGAAACGGCAGACGCACUAGCUUUAGGAGCUAGCGGGGCAACCCAUGGAGGUUCGACUCCUCUCUCGCCCACCA